UACGGAGGGGGGCUAGCGUUGUUCGGAAUUACUGGGCGUAAAGCGCACGUAGGCGGACCAGUUAGUUGGGGGUGAAAUCCCGGGGCUCAACCCCGGAACUGCCUCCAAAACUGCUGGUCUGGAGGUCGAGAGAGGUGAGUGGAAUUCCGAGUGUAGAGGUGAAAUUCGUAGAUAUUCGGAGGAACACCAGUGGCGAAGGCGGCUCACUGGCUCGAUACUGACGCUGAGGUGCGAAAGCGUGGGGAGCAAACAGG
rnacentral:rRNA from 1 species